GCCUGGAUGGCGGAAUUGGUAGACGCGCGCGACUCAAACUCGCGUACUUCGGUGUGUGGGUUCGAUUCCCACUCUAGGUACUA
rnacentral:tRNA from 1 species